rnacentral:rRNA from 1 species
UAUAAGGUCUAACCUGCCCAAUGAGGAAUUAAAUGGCCGCAGUAUUUUGACUGUGCAAAGGUAGCAUAAUUAUUAGUUUUUUAAUUGAAAGCUUGUAUGAAGGGUUGGACGAGAUAAAAUCUGUCUCUAUUUAAAUUAAAUUAGAAUUUAACUUUUAAGUCAAAAGGCUUAAAUAUUUAUAAAAGACGAGAAGACCCUAUAGAUCUUUAUUUGAUUAAUAUUUUGAUAAUUUAGGAUUAUUUUAAUUUAAAUUAUUAAUUAAAUUUUAUUGGGGUAAUAUAAAGAUUAAAAGAAUUCUUUUUAUUUAUUACAUUGAUUUAUGAAUAUAUGAUCCAGUAUUAUUGAUUAUAAGAUUAAGUUACCUUAGGGAUAACAGCGUAAUUUUUUUGGAGAGCUCAUAUCGAUAAAAAAGUUUGCGACCUCGAUGUUGGAUUAAAAAUUAGCUUGGGUGCAGAAGCUCAAGAUUUUGGUCUGUUCGACCAUUAAAUUUUUACAUGAUCUGAGUUCAGACCGGCGUAAGCCAGGUCGGUUUCUAUCUUUAUUUAAAUAAAAUAUUUUAGUACGAAAGGACCAAAUAUUUAAUAUAAUUAUAUUUAUUUUUGAAUAAUAUU